rnacentral:rRNA from 1 species
GACGAACGCUGGCGGCGUGCUUAACACAUGCAAGUCGAACGGAAAGGCCCUGCUUUUGUGGGGUGCUCGAGUGGCGAACGGGUGAGUAACACGUGAGUAACCUGCCCUUGACUUUGGGAUAACUUCAGGAAACUGGGGCUAAUACCGUAUAGGAGCUCCUGCUGCAUGGUGGGGGUUGGAAAGUUUCGGCGGUUGGGGAUGGACUCGCGGCUUAUCAGCUUGUUGGUGGGGUAGUGGCUUACCAAGGCUUUGACGGGUAGCCGGCCUGAGAGGGUGACCGGCCACAUUGGGACUGAGAUACGGCGCAGACUCCUACGGGAGGCAGCAGUGGGGAAUAUUGCACAAUGGGCGGAAGCCUGAUGCAGCAACGCCGCGUUCGGGAUGACGGCCUUCGGGUUGUAAACCGCUUUCGCCUGUGACGAAGCGUGAGUGACGGUAAUGGGUAAAGAAGCACCGGCUAACUACGUG